rnacentral:rRNA from 1 species
CAUGCAAGUCGAACGCGGAGUGGAGCAAUCCAUGAGUAGAGUGGCAAACGGGUGAGUAACGCGUGGGUGACCUACCUUCGAAUGGGGGAUAACGUCCCGAAAGGGACGCUAAUACCGCAUAACAUCCUGCCUUUGAACAGGUGGAGAUCAAAGCCGGGGAUCGCAAGACCUGGCGUUUGGAGAGGGGCCCGCGUCUGAUUAGCUAGUUGGUGAGGUAACGGCCCACCAAGGCGACGAUCAGUAUCCGGCCUGAGAGGGCGGACGGACACACUGGGACUGAGACACGGCCCAGACUCCUACGGGAGGCAGCAGUGGGGAAUUGUUCGCAAUGGGCGCAAGCCUGACGACGCAACGCCGCGUGGAGGAUGAAGGUCUUCGGAUUGUAAACUCCUGUUGCCAGGGACGAAAAGCUCCGACCUAACACGUCGGAGUCUGACGGUACCUGGUGAGGAAGCCCCGGCUAACUCUGUGCCAGCAGCCGCGGUAAUACAGAGGGGGCUAGCGUUGUUCGGAAUUACUGGACGUAAAGGGCGCGUAGGCGGCCCGCUAAGUCGAACGUGAAAUCCCCGGGCUCAACCCGGGAACUGCGUCCGAUACUGGCAGGCUUGAAUCCGGGAGAGGGAUGUGGAAUUCCAGGUGUAGCGGUGAAAUGCGUAGAUAUCUGGAGGAACACCGGUGGCGAAGGCGGCAUCCUGGACCGGUAUUGACGCUGAGGCGCGAAAGCCAGGGGAGCAAACGGGAUUAGAUACCCCGGUAGUCCUGGCCCUAAACGAUGAAUGCUUGGUGUGGCGGGUAUCGAUCCCUGCCGUGCCGAAGCUAACGCAUUAAGCAUUCCGCCUGGGGAGUACGGUCGCAAGGCUG